rnacentral:rRNA from 1 species
UCGAGAUGGGACUAAGGUAUGCUAGUCGAACGACCAGAACUAUGUCUGGAAGUAGCACACUGCUCAGUAACACGUAGCUAACCUACCCUUAGGACGUGGAUACCCCCGAGAAAUUGGGGUUAAUCCGCGAUAGGUGUAAUGUCCUGGAAUGGUAUUACGCCUAAAGGUGUAUCAUACAUGUUUGAUAUACGCCUAAGGAUGGGGCUGCGGCCGAUCAGGCUGUUGGUGAGGUAAUGGCUCACCAAACCUUUGACCGGUACGGGCCAUGAGAGUGGUAGCCCGGAGAUGGACACUGAGACAAGGGUCCAGGCCCUAAGGGGCGCAGCAACCGCGAAACCUCCACAAUGCACUCACGUGCGAUGGGGCUAUCUCGAGUGCCACCUGAUGAAGGUGGCUUUUCCUAGGUCUUCAAAGCCUUGGGAAUAAGAGGGGGGCAAGACUGGUGUCAGCCGCCGCGGUAACACCAGCCCCUCGAGUGGUGGGGAUGAUUAUUUGGCCUAAAGCGUCCGUAGCCGGCCGAGCAAGUCUUCCGUUAAAUCCAGCGUCUCAAGCGUUGGACUGCGGGAGAUACUACACGGCUAGAGAGUGGGAGAGGUCAGCGGUAUUCUGGGGGUAGGGGCGAAAUCCUUUGAUCCCCGGAGGACCACCAGUGGCGAAGGCUGCUGACUAGAACACGUCUGACGGUCAGGGACGAAAGCUGGGGUAGCGAACCGGAUUAGAUACCCGGGUAGUCCCAGCCGUAAACGAUGCAUGCUAGGUGUUGGGUUGGCCACGAGCCACCCCAGUGCCGCAGGGAAGCCGUUAAGCAUGCCGCCUGGGAAGUACGAUCGCAAGAUUGAAACUUAAAGGAAUUGGCGGGGGAGCACCACCAGGCGUGAAGCCUGCGGUUUAAUUGGAUUCAACCCGGA